GGAGUUGUAAAAGUUUUGGUGACCUCAUGUUGCUAACAUCAUAACGAGGUAUAGUUUAAUAAGAACGAACUAUUGCCUAUGCGACAUUAUAUAGAUUCAGCCUGAAAUGGUACAUUUAUUGUCUUCGUUGGUGCUAUUAUACAAUGCUACAUAAAUAUGGUCAUCUAUCAGAAGAAUAAAACUUUGGAUUGGUAGAGAUCUCUGGAAUUUCUGUUUUUCAUAGAUACAUGUACUCCUACUAAAUCUUUCUGUAAACUUUCUGUCUAUAAGCAAGUAAUUUACCUCACCAUAAUCCCACUAAACAACUCUGUUCCUUAAUAAAGAUGAAACCUGAGAGAAAAAUGGUCUGAAGGACACCGUUUCUUUUAUCAUUCCAUAUGAAUGCAACAUAUUCAGUGGUAUAGAUUGAUACGAGUCUAAGAUGAGUAACUUGGACAGUGACAAUUCAUAUAAAUAGAUCACAGCUUGUUUGGAACUGAUGUGUACCAAUUGUAGUACAAAAGGGGUGAUAUAUCAUCCAUUUUGCUAUGAUCUAUUAAAGUAUCUGAGAGAAGAAUGUUUCUGUCAAUUAACAGAACUUCGGUUAGUUGGCUAUCUGAACUUUUACUUUGUUGGUGAGGGUUCUUUCCCACAUCGCGUCGGAUUCUAAGUAAAUUGUGAAUGAAAAAUAAAGGGAAAAGUUAAAAUGUGAGUUCACUUUAUAGAAGAGUAUCUGUCCCACAUUGGCGGGAGAAAGGAACAUUCUUAUGGUUAAAUUAAGAAGCGUUCCUUCAUAUUUAUAGCAAGGCAAGAAGAAAACAAGCCUCACGUUGUCAUCGUUCUUUGCUUGGCUUCGAUAACUUGGAUUUGAGAGACCAUCUUGUUAGACAAAAUCAUUUGAACACAAGUGUGUUAGAAGUUUCUCAAAAUUGAGGUACCACUAUUUGGUGAGGAAUAAAUUCCAUAAGGACACACCAUGAAUUAGGUAAACUUAUUCUUUUUUUUUCUUAAUCUUUUUCUAAACGUUGGUUUUAUUACUUUUCAGAAAAUAAUUUGAACUUCAUUUUUGUUCUUGAAGUUGUUCUUGAAUUUAAUGUUGAAGUUAUUGUUGUAAAUACAGAUUUUCUACCCAGAAAACAACACAUUAUAAUCUCCUCACCAUUUCCCUUUAAAAGAGAUUUGAGAAAAAAAAAAAAACAUAACUUCUAGGAAGUAGGGUAGACUGCUGCUGUAUUCCUAAAUUUGGGACCAUCUUUGUGGAUGUUAUGCUUGAAAGAUUCUCAUUGCCUUGGCUCUUAACAAUAUAAAGAAAAUAGAUGACAGAAUUAAUUUUUCUUUUUAUUAUGAGUUAGCAAAUCCGUUUUGUGAACCACAGGCCAACCAGUCAACUAUCAAGGGAAGAGGGUAGAUUCUUUUCUUCUUGCAACUUAUUUUCCACCUUUAAUCUGUCUGCACACAAAAUCUGUUUUCCACAUUUGGAAAUUAUAGUCUAACCUUUACACCGUUUUAUUUGUUUUGGUGCUGUAGAGUGGAGUGACAGACCUUUGGAAAUACCACAUAUACAAUCCAGUUUCCAAAUUCUCUUGAAGCAUUAUAAUUGAUUUUUUGUAAAUACCACACAUACAAUGUAGUGUCAAAAAUUCCCUCGAAGCGUUCUAUUUCGAGUGCAUAGUAACUGCAUGGAGAAGCACAUUUUACUAUUGAUUCUUCAAUUUCUAGUUUAAAUAUGACUGUCAAAGAAGCUCAACCGGCUUUGUAGAAUCUUGUUACAAGAGCUAGUAUGAUUUUAGCCAAUAAUUUGACCGAGAAUAAUUUCUCUUUUUUCUUUUUGCUUUGGUGCCACUUGUAGUUCCAAAAUGCAAAGGGUUGUACCCUUAGCUCUUCCUGAUUUGCAACUUCAGGAUACAAUUUCCCAGUCUUUGGUCAAUUUGUCCUUUCUCAACGUGCUCAUUCUUGGGAACUAUAGCAUCCAUGGUUCCAUCCUUUAUGGCCUUGGCCACAUGCCUCACUUGCAAGCGAUUGAUAUUCAAAACAACCAACUCCAAGUAUGUAUUCCAACAUGUCAAUUCAACAUCAGAGAGUUCAAGUAUUUUCAUUGUCUUUCAAUAAACUCAGUUGUGAAAUGUGGAAAGGGUCAUGGUUAUAAAAGUUGCAACUAUUAUUGUUACAAUGUGUGGUAUUUAUACAUAUACAAGUAUAGAAGAGAAAGGAGUUUGCUCAACAUAAGAGGCCUAAAGAUAAGAGGAACUAAAUUCCUAUACAAAUACAACUAAAAUUUAGUAAUGUAAUACGACUAUACAUGCUCAUCCUUAUCAUGUUCCCUCAACAUUGGCUCAAUUUUCUUGAGACCAAGGUUGCUAACAAAGUUGACAAAGGACCUUCAGGAAAGUGCUUUAGGUAAAGUAUCUGCUAGAUGAGCUCUUGUUGGAAUGAGAUGAACUAAAAUUUUCUCCUAUCAAAUUCGUCAGAGACAAAUUGAAAGUCGAUUUCCACAUGUUCCUUUUGAAUAUGAAAGACUAGAUGGCGAAACAGGCAAGUAACCCUGAUGUUAUUGCAAAAAAUCUUGUGUAGGACAAGGACGCUUGACCCAAGUUCUUGCAGCAGGUUGGUGAGAACCUUUAGCUCAACCUUGUACUCCUCAUCCAUGGAAGAUCUAGCAACAGUACGUUGCUUGUUUGAGCACCAACUAAUUGGAUUGUUUCCAAGAAAAAUAACAUACACUGAGAUGGAGUGUCUAGUGUUGGGAAUACCAACUCGAUUUGCAUCUGAGUAGGCAGGUUACUCUAAAGAGUUAUCAUAUUUGUAGAAUGUCCAUUGAUUAUGGUUCCAUUAGAUAACGAAUAAGCCCCUUUGUUGCCUGCCAAUGUUUGGUAGAUGGAGAGGGUGUUGAAAUUGGGCAAGCUUGUUUACUGCAAGCCUAUAUCUGGUAAUAUGAAGAAGAGGUAUUCAGUGAUCCAAUAACCUUCCUAUAAAGCUUAGCAUCAAUCUGCUGAAGGAGAACUAUCGUCCAAGGAUAGAAUGUCACUUGUAGAAAAAUAAGUGUAUUGCAUCCAGCAUGCUGAACGAGUAUGUCCACAAUGAAGUUACUUUAUGUGAGUUUCAAUCCAGGAUCAUGUUGUAUGACUUCACCUAGAAAAAAAUGUAAGCGGCCAAGGUCCUUAAAUCAAAAAUCUGUAUCCCAAUAGCAUAAUUGUUUCCUGGACUUGUGAGUUGUUAGAGCUAGUGUCACGACCCAAACUAUGGCCCUGGCGAUGACGGGCAUCCCAAAUAAACUAAUGCCUGGGAUGACCCCUUAGCAUUUUAUCAUAAGCAUAGUCAAAACUAAUGUAGCGGAAACAAGCCAUAAGAAAAUGAGUUCAACAAUUAAAUGAAGUAAUUUUCAUAUCUUAAGAGCAAAAUUCAAACCAAUUAGCGAACACCGUUUACGAAGCCUCUAACUUUAAGAAUACUCAUAUGUCGGGACAUAGCUCCAACAAUUCCAUAGAAACCUUAAAAUGAUAGAAUGGAAACGUAAGAGAAAUGAACAAUCACCUUCUAGAUGAUGGAGGGCUUAUCACUUAUCACCAGUUGUCCAAGAGAGAAUGUGAGAGACCUAAGGCUGCACAUAACAUUUUAAAAGUGCCUCCGAAUCUACAUUAUGAAAUGAUGUAGCGUUUUGAGAUUGACAUACAACUCAGGGAAAGGAAUAAAGCAUUCAUUAUAAAACCAGUCAUAUAACUUAUUUUCAUUAUCAAUAAUAAUAAUAAUAAUAAAGGACGAGAAAAAGGACAAGGAACAUAAAGACAUGACCAUUUAAAAUUUAGUCUUGAGCUAUGCAGUUUUUCACCGACAUCCAGUAACCUACGAGCUAUAUGAUUCAAUACUCCCCGACCGACGGGGCCCUAAUCCAUGUUAGUCGCAUGAACUGAGAUUAGGC
rnacentral:lncRNA from 1 species